rnacentral:tRNA from 1 species
UAGCUCAGUGGGUAGAGUGCUUGCCUUGCAUGCAUAAGGUCCUGGGUUCAAUCCCCAG